UCUCCCUCUCUCACAAAUCUUAAAAAAAAAAAAAAAAAAAAAAAAAAAAUUUAAAACAACUGCUACUCUCACUGAGCCUGGCACAGUUCUCUCCACUUUCCAGGGCUACUCUUGCCAAACUGCUUUUUAUUUUAUGAAUUGGAGAAAGAAGAGACAAACCUCUAAGACUGAAUUGGGCCUCAUUUAGUGUUGACUCAGUGCAGGAGUGCUACAUUUUCAUUACAAGUUCUCCAGACUAAAACUGAACAAACUGUUGGAAUAAAAAAAGAUGAUUUAACACUUCUGAUCCUGACCAAUUUGUGGCUUAGCUGGUUUGAGCGUAAUGUUAACUUUUUGCUUCUAUCACUAGCUGAUCUCUUGCAAGUGCUUGCCAUGGGCCAACAAGAGGACUAGAUGAAAUGCAUGGAAGCCUCAUAAAUUCUUGAUUUGUAUAAAUGGAAGAGUUAGUUCUAAGGUCAAGUGAACAAAAAUUUUAUUUGAAUCAAAAACAGAGAACCCUGGCCCCUCAAUCAGUUCCCAGACUUGAGCCAGUUUACAAACCCAGAACUCCUUGGAUGCAGGGGAGGCGUGGUCCCCUUGAGUGAGAACCCAAGUACACUGCCAAAAAAUUUAGAGUUAGCCUUUCUCCCAACCUUCACCCGAGGGACUGAUGGCCUUGGAGCAGCGCAGCUGGAGAGGAAACAGACCGUCAGGACUGCAUGGACGCUGAUCCCAGGAGAUCCCAGGCGUCACUGUGGCCCCUCCAGUCCAAGCAGGGUUCACGCAGGUCAGGUGCCUGGGGUGUUAGGUCUGUCUCACAGCUGGUUCUGUGGGCCCCCAAGCCAUCCCGUGGCUAUUGCCCCAGCUCGGGAAGUAUCUAAUUACAGUAGCUAUUCUCCGGAACUGUCAGUAUCCCCGCAUGGGUUCCCUACCUGUGGGGUGAGAGCUAUUACAGUGGAAGAGAUCGGCUGAAAGCCACUGGUAAAUCCAAGGCAGUCAGGCAGUGAGGAUUCUGGGAAGAUGGUGGAGCAGGAAGCACCAGGAAUCUGUCCCCCAGGGAGGCCACAAUUGCACUGGCAGAACCUGUCUGAUUUAACUAUUUGGAACUCAAGUCUGCUGAAGGCUUGCAGCUUGCCGGGGAAAGCUCGGACAGUACAUUUUAGCUCUUCACAGUGGCAGCUACCCAUCCCCACCCCCACCAUGGGAGCAUCUUGCACACAACUUACAGGAGCUAGGAUGGGUAAAAAGGACCCUGUCUUCCCAGUAUUGGGUAUCUGUGCUUUGCUGAUUGCUAGUUUUGAUCACAGAGGUGCAGGCAAAGAGGCAGGCAGUCAUCUGGUUGCAUCUCCUCCGCUGCUGCCAUCGCUUCACCCUCCAGCUGAAGUGACUUUCAAGAGAUUUAAAGGGCCAGGACUCACCACCACCCCCACCCCCUACCCACCCCUACCCCAACCUCACUUUUGCUUUUCCCCUUUUGGGAGCCAGACAUUAAAGAGGACAUUAAAAAAACAGCUGCAUGUACAAGGAAAAUGAGAAAGUGGCCAUGAAUGCCCAAGGAAAGGCUCUAGAAGAGACAUAAGAAGACACUGUUUAUACCUCAGGAUGAUCUCUACACAGAACCUACAAUAAUAAAAACAACAAAAAAUAGCAAACCCUGGGGAAGAGGGAGAAUCCGAUUUCCACAGUUGCACAUUUUAGAUUCAAAUGUCCAGUGUUUCACAAAAUAUCACAAGAUACACAAACAGGAAAGUAUGACCCAUUCAGAGGAAAAAAUUUCAGCAGAGUCUGUCUGUGAGAAAGAUUUAAUGGCAGAUCUAUUAGACAAACAUUCUAGAACAAUGGUCCUAAAGGUGGAGAAAGUCAAGAAAAGGGUGUAUGGACAAAAUGGAAAUACCAACAAGAUGACUGAAAACCUAAAAAGAAAUUCUAGAGCUGAAAAUACCACAACUGAAAUGAAAAAUUCACUAGGGGGAUUCAAAGGCAGAUUUGAGCAGACAGAAGAUUUCCUGAACUUGAAGAUAGGACAGUGGCAAUUAUCCAGGUUGAGGAACAGAAAGAAAAAAGAUUGAAGAAAAGCGAGCAGAACCUAAAGGGACCUGUGAGACACAAUCAAGUAGACCAACAUAUACAUUGUAGGCAUCCCGGAAGGAGCCCGAAGAAAGAGAAAAAGGGGCAGAGCGAAUAUCUGAAGAAAUAAAAGGCUGAAAACUUUCCAAACUUGAGGAAAGACAUGAGUAUAAACAUCCAAGAAGUUCAACAAACUCCAAGUAGUAUGAACUCAAGAGACCCACCCUGAGACCCAUUAUAAUCAAACAUUUAAAAGACAAAGACAAAGAAUGAAUCUUGAAAGCAGCAACAGAGAAGAAAAUCAUCAUAUAAAAGGUAUCCUCCAUGAGAAUAUGUACAGAUUUCUUAUCAAAAUUUGUAGGCAGAAGAUACUGGGUCAAUGCAUUAAGAGUGCUAAAAGAAAAAAAACAAACCAUUAACCAAGAAUCCUGUAUCUGGCAAAACUGUCCUUCAAAAGUGAGAGAGAAAUCAAGACGUUCCCAGAAUAAACAGAAGCUGAGUGAGUUCGUGACCACUAGAUGUGCCCCACAGUAAGUGCUCAACGGAGUCCUGCAGGGAAAAAUGAACGGACACUAGACACUACCUCAAUGCCGUAUGGAGAAAUGAGUAUCUUCAAAAGGUAAGUAUAUGGGCAAUUAUAAAAGCUAGUAUUAUUGUAACAAUGGUUUGUAACUACUUUUUUCUUAGCUAAGUGAUUUAAGAGACUAUGACAUAUAAAGAAAAAAAUAUUACUGUAAAACCAGUAUUACUGUAACUUGGCUUUGUAACUCCAAAUCUUGUUUUCUACAUUACUUAGGAGACUAAUGCAUUUUUAAAAAGUAUGUUUUGGGACACACAAGGUAUAAAGAUGUAAUUUUGUGUCAUCAACAACCUAAAGGGGGAGGGGACGGAGUUGUAAAGGAGCAGUUUUUCUGUUACAGAAGUUGCACUGCUACAAAUUCAAAUUAGAGUGUUCUAACUUUACGAUGUUGAUUCCCAUGGUAACCACAAAGAAAACUGCCAUAGAUUACAUGCAAAAGGAAAUUAAGAAGGAAUUCAAACAUUUCACUUAAAAAAAUCAACUAUAAGCAAGAGACAAAUACAGGAAUGAGGAAAAAAUAUAGACAUUCCACGUGCUCUAUAAGCUAUAGGACAUAGAAAACAAAUAGCACAAUGUCUCAUCUAGUGGAUGAGAUGGAGACUUUCCACCUUAGCAAGAAAGAAUAGGAUGAUGAACCGUGGCCUGAGGACCAUUCAUGAGCCCCCUUAUAGGAAGAAAAAGGAGGGGGAGGGAGCCCAGGCCCCCAGAAGGCCUUGCUGCUGGGAAGGGGGCUCUUCUCUUCUGCCAGACACAGCUGGCUCUGCUGACCAUCGGAGGUUCACAGCCAGCAGGGUGAGGCAGGUGGGAAUUGAAAGGCACCACAUUACAGGCACUCAAUACAUACUAGCUGAAUACAUGAGUGAAUGGCCUUUCUACACACAUGCAAGUGAAAGGCUACCAGGAACCUGAUGCAGGCCAGCUGAGUUCCUUUAUGCAUGUACUGUGACCAUGCCAAGCCAACCUCUUCCAAACAGCCUUGUUUGCUCCUGCUUGAAACAGGGUGCCCAAGCAAGGUCACCUGCUCUUCCUGGUGAAAAAAAGCAGGAGCAGCGAGCACAGAAACCAGCUGGGCCUUGGGUACUGUUUGCAGUUACAGAACUGCAGGAGGAGCCCAUGACCUCUCUCCUACCCUACAUUCUGUAUGAGGCUAGAAGCCAGGCUCCCUCUCCAUGCAAGGACUUCCACCACUUGGCCAUCACCAAAAGUGCAGUAAGGCACUGGCAAAGCUAAGGACCUACCUUCUUGGACUGUAUAGCUUUCAUCCUUGAUGAGCACACACUUACUCGCUUGCUGGGGAUCAUGAGCACAGGGGUUGAGAGCCUGGGCUGUGAAGUGAGACAAACCUACAUUAGCACCUGCCUCCCUUGCUUAGUGUGUGCAUGUGUGUGCAUGCCUGAAGAUGAACUUGAGCAAGCUAUUAUCCUCAUGUGCAAAAUGGGGCGGACUUGUAGGACCUACCUCAUAAGGUUAUUAUGGAAUAAGACAGCAUAAAGUGCUCAGAGCACUAGUCAAAUUCCUGGCACACUGAACAUACUUCAUAAAUAUUGAAUGCCAUUGUUACCUUAUGCUCUGAUUGAAUCAUGCUAAUGAGAAUUUUGACGACUGGCAGGAAAAGUAAUAGUAAAAGAUUAAAAUUUUAUGGCUUACCUCUUCUUGGCAAUGAGUUGAGGGCCUUUUAGGUCUGCUUCCCAGAAACAAGAUGAAUGACUCCAACUGAAUAACAAACCCUUUUAAAAGUUGGGUCUUUGUUUUUUCAGUAAGAUUGAAAGUUAUAAGAUGGUAAAAUCCUUACAAGUAAUUUCUGAUUACAGAUAACUUGAACAUUUGGCAUAUAACGCGAAAGAAAUUUAAAGAAUUAGGUGGCAUUCCUAUGACAAGACCCCUCUGGUCCCUAAUUACAUCAAUGUGGUCUCAGCAAUGAGACCAAUAAAAAUGAAAACUGGAAUAGGACUGUCCAGAUCAUCUCAUUCUAUCAGUACAAAGUAUUCAUUCACUUCGCCCGUCAACAUACGAACCAACCGGAAAAAAAUCCCCAUCCAAGGUGAAUUUUCUUUUUAACACUUUACUACUGAAAAUUUUAAACAUUUACUUAAGUCGAGAGAGUUGUGAACUGGAUCCUCACCACCUUCAACACUUGUGAACAUGCUGUUGUUUUUAAGCCACAGAGGAUUAUGGUACCUUUUGUUUUUAUGUUUUAGUCAUUUCAGGCUGCUGUAGCACAUUCCCGCUGCCUGGCCCCCGUGGUGGGGAACACUGAUGCCAGAAUGUGUGUGUCUGCUUCUUUGGACAGGUUAUCUGGAAGUCAUGGAUGGUUUCUCUGCGCCUGGAACAAGAAACAAGUCCUCCCAAGAGAGGCGUUCAGUGCAGAUGUGAUGAAUGAAUGAAUACACGUCCCAGAGUGAUAAAACUGCCUUCAAAGAGCUGCUGUUGGACUAAACGUGAAGAAUGUCAUUAAGGUCAGAUGUGGAAAGUGUUUGGGAAAGAAGUAUUGGAUUAUUCUCUGAAUUUCUGUCAAGGAAAAUUUGAUGUUAGUUGGCAUGCCUGACAACAUAGUCCUCAGAUCUUCUCUUUUCUUGAUUUGGAGGAUAUUGGACAGCUGUUGAAAACCUGCAAAAAAAUCCCAAAAGGAAUUUUAUGGUUUUAGGUAUUAUGUUCAAGUCUUCAGUCAUCUUCAGUCAAAGCCCAAAUGAGCAGUGAGAACACAGUGAGAUCCAGCCUGAUCUAAGUAGGAGUCAGCAAACUACGGUCCACAGCCAAAUAUGGCCUGCUGCAUGUUUUUAUAAAUAAAAUUUUAUUGGAACAUGGCCCUGCCCAUUCAUUAUGUAUUGCCCAAUGGCAGAGUUUAUAAGUUGUAACAGAGACCAGAGAGUCUGCAAAGUCUAAAAUAGUUACUACCUACCCCUUUUCCAUCAGGGCUGGCUGUGCUGGGUCACAUGGACCUCACUAAAUCACAGCAAGUCCUUCUCACCCCUCCCCUGCCAAAUUCUUGGAAUUCCGGAGUCAAGAGCAAGAGCACAGCAGUGCCAUGGGACGGACUAUAUGUCCAAUAGUCAAACAUCUUUAAUGAUAAAUGAGUAAUUCUCAGGUUUGUUUUUUCUAAGAUCUUAUUUAUUUGAGAGAGAGAGAGAGAGAGAGAGAGAGGUUCUUUUCUUUGUUGGGAGUUCCUCCUCCUAGUCAUUCUGUUGAGGGGUGGUUGAGGGAAUGUACAGAGUCCUAAAUAUCAACCACAAUCCAGGCAAGAUGCACCAUCGAAACCGUGCUUGUGGAGAUCCAGGUAUAUAUUCUGGAUAUAUAAUAUUAUCUUUCUGCUUGUGGAGAUUCAGAUAUAUAUUCCUACACCUCAGGCUGAUUUCAUGGGUGUUCAGAAUGGUCUGGUAGAUAUCCUCAGGCUGAUUUCAUGGGUGUUCAGAAUGGUCUGGUAGAUAUCCAGCUAAAUUCAGGGGCCUGGUUGAAUCAGAGUCCCCUACUCCUCUGCCAUCUUGCCCCCUCCCGAGAGAGACAGAGAUAGGGAGAGAGCGCACAAGCAGGGUAGGAGGACAGAGAAACAGCCUCCCCGCUGACCAGGGAGCCCAAUGUGGGGCUC